rnacentral:rRNA from 1 species
UGGGGAAUAUUGGACAAUGGGCGAAAGCCUGAUCCAGCCAUGCCGCGUGUGUGAAGAAGGUCUUCGGAUUGUAAAGCACUUUAAGUUGGGAGGAAGGGCAGUAAUCGAAUACCUUGCUGUUUUGACGUUACCGACAGAAUAAGCACCGGCUAACUCUGUGCCAGCAGCCGCGGUAAUACAGAGGGUGCAAGCGUUAAUCGGAAUUACUGGGCGUAAAGCGGGCGUAGGUGGUUCGUUAAGUUGAAUGUGAAAGCCCCGGGCUCAACCUGGGAACUGCAUCCAAAACUGGCGAGAUAGAGUAGGGCAGAGGGUGGUGGAAUUUCCUGUGUAGGGGUGAAAAGCGGAGAAAUAGGAAGGGACAACAGUGGCGGAGGCGACCACCUGGGCUCAUACUGAAACUGAGGGGCGAAAGCGUGGGGAGGAAACAGG